rnacentral:misc_RNA from 1 species
GAAGCAAACCACCUGUAUUUUAUUAUAAGGUCAGAGAUCAUAACCCACAUAACUAAAAUUAAAAAGACAAGCUGCAAUAAACAUCUUAAAGAAAUAACUGACAAAAGCUACAACUAAAUGUUGAAUUAUCUUGUGUUACGAGAAACAUAAUACCAAAUUGCCUAUCUAUUACUAGUUUCUUUUUAACAAAAUUUGGAUCAUAAAUGUAUCAAGAUUUUGUGGCAUAGGUCCUUCAGUACAAAUGUUUGCUAUUACCUAAUCAAAGGAAGCUUUGCAGAAUCAUCAUUAAAUCUUUUCUUCACCACUUGAAAGCAGGCCAAAAAGCUACUGAUAAAAUUGUUUUAGCUAAUAACUGUCCAUCCUUUAUUUUCUUCUGUUUCCUAUUGGCUUUCUUGGGAAUAAAUCAUUUGCAAGAAAAG